rnacentral:rRNA from 1 species
GACGAACGCUGGCGGCGUGCUUAACACAUGCAAGUCGAACGGAAAGGCCCUGCUUUUGUGGGGUGCUCGAGUGGCGAACGGGUGAGUAACACGUGAGUAACCUGCCCUUGACUUUGGGAUAACUUCAGGAAACUGGGGCUAAUACCGGAUAGGAGCUCCUGCUGCAUGGUGGGGGUUGGAAAGUUUCGGCGGUUGGGGAUGGACUCGCGGCUUAUCAGCUUGUUGGUGGGGUAGUGGCUUACCAAGGCUUUGACGGGUAGCCGGCCUGAGAGGGUGGCCGGCCACAUUGGGACUGAGAUACGGCCCAGACUCCUACGGGAGGCAGCAGUGGGGAAUAUUGCACAAUGGGCGGAAGCCUGAUGCAGCAACGCCGCGUGCGGGAUGACGGCCUUCGGGUUGUAAACCGCUUUCGCCUGUGACGAAGCGUGAGUGACGGUAAUGGGUAAAGAAGCACCGGCUAACUACGUGCCAGCAGCCGCGGUGAUACGUAGGGUGCGAGCGUUGUCCGGAUUUAUUGGGCGUAAAGGGCUCGUAGGUGGUUGAUCGCGUCGGAAGUGUAAUCUUGGGGCUUAACCCUGAGCGUGCUUUCGAUACGGGUUGACUUGAGGAAGGUAGGGGAGAAUGGAAUUCCUGGUGGAGCGGUGGAAUGCGCAGAUAUCAGGAGGAACACCAGUGGCGAAGGCGGUUCUCUGGGCCUUUCCUGACGCUGAGGAGCGAAAGCGUGGGGAGCGAACAGGCUUAGAUACCCUGGUAGUCCACGCUGUAAACGGUGGGUACUAGGUGUGGGGUCCAUUCCACGGGUUCCGUGCCGUAGCUAACGCUUUAAGUACCCCGCCUGGGGAGUACGGCCGCAAGGCUAAAACUCAAAGGAAUUGACGGGGCCCCGCACAAGCGGCGGAGCAUGCGGAUUAAUUCGAUGCAACGCGUAGAACCUUACCUGGGUUUGACAUGGAUCGGGAGUGCUCAGAGAUGGGUGUGCCUCUUUUGGGGUCGGUUCACAGGUGGUGCAUGGCUGUCGUCAGCUCGUGUCGUGAGAUGUUGGGUUAAGUCCCGCAACGAGCGCAACCCUUGUUCACUGUUGCCAGCACGUUAUGGUGGGGACUCAGUGGAGACCGCCGGGGUCAACUCGGAGGAAGGUGGGGAUGACGUCAAGUCAUCAUGCCCCUUAUGUCCAGGGCUUCACGCAUGCUACAAUGGCUGGUACAGAGAGUGGCGAGCCUGUGAGGGUGAGCGAAUCUCGGAAAGCCGGUCCCAGUUCGGAUUGGGGUCUGCAACUCGACCUCAUGAAGUCGGAGUCGCUAGUAAUCGCAGAUCAGCAACGCUGCGGUGAAUACGUUCCCGGG